CUCUGUGCUCUACUGCGUUUGCAAGCGGGUGUGUUCCGCGCCCGGCUUAAAAAAGGAGGCGUCACCGGUGGUAUGCUGGAGGCUUGAGUCUGCAGCAGCGUGGCUCGCCUGGCUGCGGUUGGUCGCGGUGAGGGAGAGUACAGCGCAGCCAGUGUGGUAGAAAGGUGGCAGAGUAGAUGGGAGUCUCACUCUGUCGCCUGUGCUGGAAUGCAGUGGUGUGAUCUUGGUUCACUACAGUCUCUUUCAGUGCUUCGGUGCCUGUCCAGUAGGAAGUUCUGCCUCUUGGCUGAUCUCACCCUGACAUGCUGCACUUUUCUGGGUCAGCCCAAGGCCACCCCCUCAGUCACUCUGUUCCCGCCAUCCUCUGAGGAGCUCCAAGCCAACAAGGCCACGCUGGUGUGUCUCAUGAGUGACUUCUAUCCGGGAAUCUUGACGGUGACCUGGAAGGCAGAUGGUACCCCCAUCACCCAGGGCGUGGAGAUGACCACGCCCUCCAAACAGAGCAACAACAAGUACGCGGCCAGCAGCUACCUGAGCCUGAGGCCCGAGCAGUGGAGGUCCCGCAGAAGCUACAGCUGCCAGGUCACGCAUGAAGGAAGCACCGUGGAGAAGACAGUGGCCCCUGCAGAAUGUUCGUAGGUUCCCAACCCUCACCCCAGCCACAGGGGCCUGGAGCUGCAGGAUCCCAGGGGAGGGGUCUCUGCAUCCCAAGCCAGUCAGCCCUUCUGCCUGUACCCAGUAAUCCCUCAAUAAAUACCCUGUUUGUCAACCA